GACAGCAGCCGCCGCGGGAAUACGAAGGGUGCAAGCGUUACUCGGAAUUACUGGGCGUAAAGCGUGCGUAGGUGGUGGUUUAAGUCCGUUGUGAAAGCCCUGGGCUCAACCUGGGAAUUGCAGUGGAUACUGGGUCACUAGAGUGUGGUAGAGGAUAGUGGAAUUUCCGGUGUAGCAGUGAAAUGCGUAGAGAUCGGAAGGAACAUCUGUGGCGAAGGCGACUAUCUGGGCCAACACUGACACUGAGGCACGAAAGCGUGGGGAGCAAACAGGAUUAGAUACCCCUGUAGUCCCUGUCUCUUAUAC
rnacentral:rRNA from 1 species